rnacentral:rRNA from 1 species
GACGAACGCUGGCGGCGGGCUUAACACAUGCAAGUCGAACGGAAAGGCCCUGCUUUUGUGUGGUUCUCGAGUGGCGAACGGGUGAGUAACACGUGAGUAACCUUCCCUUGACUUUGGGAUAACUUCAGGCAGCUGCUGCUAAUACCGGAUAGGAGCUCCUGCUACAUGGUGGGGGUUGGAAAGUUUAGGCGGUUGUGGGUGGACUCGCGGCUUAUCAGCUGGUUGGUGGGGUAGUGGCUUACCCAGGCUUUGACGGGUAGCCGGCAUGAGAGGGUGAACGGCCACCUUGGGCCUGAGAUAGGGACCAGACUCCAACGGGAGGCAGCAGUGGGGAGUAUUGCACAAUGGGCGGAAGCCUGAUGAAGAAACGCCGCGUGCGGGAUGCCGGCCUUCGGGUUGUAAAGCGCUUUAGCCUGUGACGAAGCGUGAGUGACGGUAAUGGGUAAAGAAGCACCGGCUAACUACGUG